rnacentral:lncRNA from 1 species
CAGGACCUGGAGAAGGAGGCAUCCACUGACACCUUCACACGUGGAUGAUGUGGGCCAGAGAGCUUUUGCAAAAACUGAGCAACUGGCUAAAGAAAGAGACGAUGAAAAGCAAACAAGCAUCGAUUACGCCAUCUUUGCCCUUCUGUUUUGCCAGCUGAGUGCUCGCUUGGGUGAUUCCACUGCAAUCCGCCCCAUGUCACCUUUGAGUUAAACAUCACUUCAGUAGUAAGCAACAGAAGUGACCAAGACUGAGGGCCUACUGUGUGCAAGGCGUGGAGCUCCCUCCUCCUACCCCAAGUCUCGUUAUGUAAGUGUGACUUCUGCAUUGCAGUGUCACACCGUUGUGGUCACACUGGAGACCUAGGGAUAAGCUGUGUGUCUAUGCACUUGUCCCAGCAGGGGAAGCGAAAACUCCAUUUUCUUAAAGAUAACCAAACAAUAAAGUGUAAAGCCAGACAAAGAAGAAAG